GGAGGAAUACAUCUGGCGAUUGCAGGUGGCACAGCCAGAAGCAGCAGAUCUGAGCUCCUGGUACUAGGGGCAGGAAACUCAGAAGUCAUAUAUCAUAAGUACAAUACGUAGCCAGAGGAGAGGACGAAUACGUUUGAGCUCAGCUGGUACUGAAGGCAGGAUACUCACAAGUCAUACAUCACAAGUAGGAAACUUACGUGAUAAUGCUUGGUUCUUCUAAGCUAGAGGCUAUUUAUCUUCAGAGACUAAUCGACCACAUCGUUCUCCCAAUUCUCAUCUACGGAAGGCUGAAAGCUCAAAAGGCAUAAAUCAUAAUUACAGCACAAGAUCCUAUUCAAUUGCUUUGUGAGUUGAAGCUACGGUACUGAAUCCAGGAACUCAGAAGUCACACAUCACAAGUAGGAAAUAAACGUAAUUAGAGUUGAUUCGUCCGAGCUAGAGGCUAUGGUAUGUUCAUCUUGAGGAACUAAUCAGCCAUCUGUUCGAGAUCCUCAUCUGCUCCUUUGUGAAUCGAGGCUAUGGAACAAGAAGGCUAGACGAGACUGUUUGCGGCCACAGUUGUGCAGCUCAAAGACUAAAAGGCUAAAGAGCUCAGCUUCAGGCUAGCAGUCUACCUGUUUUCCCAGGAUUUUUGGGCAAGGAGACACUUUCAAAAUAAAUGAUGGCCAGUAUCGAAGGUGCUGCUGUGUCUGCAAUUUUGAAAAUUUUGGCAAACAAGUUAGCUCCAUUGAUGAUGAAGCAGUACAGCUCUAUAGUGGGUGUGACAAAGGAUCUCCAGGAUCUCAAGGGUCGAUUUGAGGAUAUCAGCUCCUGGCUAGAAAAAGCAGGAUGUAAAACUACGGAUAAUGAUCAAUUUUUCAUCAGACAAUUGAAACACGUCGCAUACGACGUUGAUGAUAUUGUUGAUGAGUUCCAUCUAGAGGCUGAGAAGCACGAAGCUGAAGUUGCCAACAAUAUUGUGUCAAAAUGUCUCUGCACAAAACCAAAAUCAUAUCUGUUUCAAUUCAAGGCAGCCCUCAAGAUCAAGGCUAUAAAGAAGAGAUUUGAUGCAAUAGUGAAGCAAAGAACUGACUUCAGUGCAACAGUAAACAGUUUGCCGGAAGGUCAUCCUGUUCCACACAUGAACAGGACUGCCAGGGCAAUUCCAACAGUGCCAAAUGUUGCUGUGGCAUCAAUAAUAUGUGGAAGUGAGCGAGAAAAGCAGGAAAUAAUAUCUAAACUAGUGGACAAAAAUAACCAACAGAUAAUCAAGAUAGUCUCCAUAAUUGGGCUUGGUGGCUCUAGGAAAACUGCCUUGUCUAACCUUGUUUUCGGUGAU